rnacentral:rRNA from 1 species
AGGCAGCAGUGAGGAAUCUUGCGCAAUGGGCGAAAGCCUGACGCAGCCACGCCGCGUGCCGGAUGAAGGCCCUAUGGGUUGUAAACGGCUUUUAAGCAGGAAGAACGACCGGAUUUCGAUCUGGUGUGACGGUACUGCUUGAAUAAGCACCGGCUAACUCCGUGCCAGCAGCCGCGGUAAUACGGAGGGUGCAAGCGUUGUCCGGAAUCAUUGGGUGUAAAGGGUGCGUAGGCGGGCGUCUAAGUCUGGGGUGAAAUCUUGCCGCUUAACGGUAAAAUGGCCUUGGAUACUGGGCGUCUUGAGUGUAGAAGAGGUAAGUGGAAUUCGUAGUGUAGCGGUGAAAUGCAUAGAUAUUACGAAGAACAUCAGUGGCGAAGGCGGCUUACUGGUCUACAACUGACGCUGAGGCACGAAAGCGUGGGGAGCGAACAGGAUUAGAUACCCUGGUAGUCCACGCUGUAAACGAUGCAUACUAGGUGUUGGCCUUUCGGGGCCAGUGCUGCAGUUAACGCAUUAAGUAUGCCACCUGGGGAGUACGUCGGCAACGAUGAAACUCAAAUGAAUUGACGG